GACGGGGCAGGCAGGGCGGGGCAUGUCCAGCCCCAGCUGAGAUUGUAUCUGGGGCCACUGCUCCCCCUCCGGCCCAGCAGAGCUAACUGGGGAGUAGGAGCUGCCCCUGUUUGCUGCCAUCACCCUGCCCAGGGGUCCUGGGGAUGGAGGAACAUGUUGGCUGCAGCACAGGCAUGCAGUCGCCAGCCUUGGAGACCUGCCUGCCCCGAAGGCCACAACCGAUACACAGACCGCCAGGAUGUGCCUCUCACUGCUCUUCAUAGAGAAUUUGACAAUGCACCCCCCACCCCAAGUCUCCCAGGAGAGGGAAUCCUGCCUCCCUCCCACUCCGCCCCCCAGCACUCACCAAUCCCGCACUUGAGUCUGGAGCGGACUGCACCUGCCAUGGGCCCCUGGCGCCCACAGAGGCCCCGCCCCCUCAAGCUGGAGUCAAGGGGGAGGCGGGGGCAUGGAAGGAAACAAGGUGGCUGCAUAAUGGCAUCUUCCCCCCUUCUGAAGCUUUCCCUGGCUGCAUUUCCCAUGUGCACCUGCCACCUUCUAAUUCUCAAGCUCCUUGUCCAAUUCAGAGCGACUCCUGGGGAGCUUCCGCAGCCCCCGCAGCAGGCAUGGGACUGCUCUACUUCUGCGUGCCUGGCUGCCCCACUGUGGGGCACCGGAUGCUGCCUGCAGUGCCACUACCUGUCGGCUGGGCCUGGCCACCGGUGCCCUGGCCUGCCUGGCCUGCAGGUCUUGGGGAGGGCAGCUGCCAGCUCCCUACAGGGCAUCGUGGGAGACCUUCUGACAUCAGGGACCCCCACUCUGAGUGUGGCAUCCUCCCGUCCUCGCUCCAGUCAAGUGCAGUAGGUUGGUCAGUCCCCACCGGUGAAUUCUGCUCCUUUCUUUGUAAAGAGAAGGGCGCGGGGCCACCCUGCUCCUGCUGAAAUGCCCCUGUCUCAGCAAACCCUGCAGUGGGCGCUGCACACACCACUCCCCCUCUGCCAAAAUUCAAUCUCCCCCAGCACCUGUGUCCAGAUUCAAGGUCAUCCUCUAGCCCAGAAGCCAAGAGCCUGCAACCUGACUCCUCAUCAGAUCCAUACCGCUGCCUGUUUGCGACUGGCCCAGGAUCUAAGACUGACUUCUCCAUUUCUGAUGGUUAAAAAAAUAAAAAGAACAUCGUUGAUGCA
rnacentral:lncRNA from 1 species